rnacentral:snRNA from 1 species
GUGCUCACUGUGGCAGCACAUACACUUAAACUGGAAUGAUACAAAGAAGAUUAGCAUGGCCCCUGCUCAAGGAUGACAUGCAAACUGGGGAACAUUUCAUGUUUUU